UACGGGGGGAGCAAGCGUUGUUCGGAUUUACUGGGCGUAAAGGGCGCGUAGGCGGCCACUGCAAGUCGGUUGUGAAAUCUCCGGGCUUAACCCGGAAAGGUCAAUCGAUACUGCAGGGCUAGAGUGCAGAAGGGGCAACUGGAAUUCUCGGUGUAGCGGUGAAAUGCGUAGAUAUCGAGAGGAACACCUGCGGCGAAGGCGGGUUGCUGGGCUGACACUGACGCUGAUGCGCGAAGGCUAGGGGAGCGAACGGG
rnacentral:rRNA from 1 species